GACAACCUGGUUGAUCCUGCCAGUAGUCAUAUGCUUGUCUCAAAGAUUAAGCCAUGCAUGUCUCAGUACAAGCCAAAUUAAGGUGAAACCGCGAAAGGCUCAUUAAAUCAGUUAUGGUUCCUUAGAUCGUACCAACAUUUACUUGGAUAACUGUGGUAAUUCUAGAGCUAAUACAUGCAAACAGAGCUUCGACCGGAGACGGAAGAGGCGCUUUUAUUAGAUCAAAACCAAUCGGCGGCGGGUCCGCUUGCGGGCUCGUCGUCGUUUUCACUGACGAAUCUGAAUAACUUUCUGCUGAUCGCACGGUCUAGCACCGGCGACGCAUCUUUCAAAUGUCUGCCUUAUCAACUGUCGAUGGUAGGUUCUGUGCCUACCAUGGUUGUAACGGGUAACGGGGAAUCAGGGUUCGAUUCCGGAGAGGGAGCCUGAGAAACGGCUACCACAUCCAAGGAAGGCAGCAGGCGCGCAAAUUACCCACUCCCGGCACGGGGAGGUAGUGACGAAAAAUAACGAUACGGGACUCAUCCGAGGCCCCGUAAUCGGAAUGAGAACAAUUUAAAUCCUUUAACGAGGAUCAAUUGGAGGGCAAGUCUGGUGCCAGCAGCCGCGGUAAUUCCAGCUCCAAUAGCGUAUAUUAAAGUUGUUGCGGUUAAAAAGCUCGUAGUCGAAUCUGUGUCCCGCGCCGCCGGUUCGUCGCUCGCGGCGUUUAACUGGCGUGUCCGCGGGACGUCCUGCCGGUGGGCUUAGCCUUUUCAUUAAGGCGGCCCAAUCUUAAUCCCGCCGCGGUGCUCUUCACCGAGUGUCGAGGCGGGCCGGCACGUUUACUUUGAACAAAUUAGAGUGCUUAAAGCAGGCUAAAACUUCGCCUGAAUACUUCGUGCAUGGAAUAAUGGAAUAGGACCUCGGUUCUAUUUUGUUGGUUUUCGGAACCCCGAGGUAAUGAUUAAUAGGAACGGAUGGGGGCAUUCGUAUUGCGACGUUAGAGGUGAAAUUCUUGGAUCGUCGCAAGACGGACAGAAGCGAAAGCAUUUGCCAAAAACGCUUUCAUNGAUCAAGAACGAAAGUUAGAGGUUCGAAGGCGAUCAGAUACCGCCCUAGUUCUAACCAUAAACNAUGCCAGCUAGCGAUCCGCCGANGUUCCUNCNAUGACUCGGCGGGCAGCUUCCGGGAAACCAAAGCUUUUGGGUUCCGGGGGAAGUAUGGUUGCAAAGCUGAAACUUAAAGGAAUUGACGGAAGGGCACCACCAGGAGUGGAGCCUGCGGCUUAAUUUGACUCAACACGGGAAACCUCACCAGGCCCGGACACCGGAAGGAUUGACAGAUUGAGAGCUCUUUCUUGAUUCGGUGGGUGGUGGUGCAUGGCCGUUCUUAGUUGGUGGAGCGAUUUGUCUGGUUAAUUCCGAUAACGAACGAGACU
rnacentral:rRNA from 1 species